rnacentral:rRNA from 1 species
GGGUUGUGAGGUUAAGCGACUAAGCGUACACGGUGGAUGCCCUGGCAGUCAGAGGCGAUGAAGGACGUGCUAAUCUGCGAUAAGCGUCGGUAAGGUGAUAUGAACCGUUAUAACCGGCGAUUUCCGAAUGGGGAAACCCAGUGUGAUUCGUCACACUAUCAUUAACUGAAUCCAUAGGUUAAUGAGGCGAACCGGGGGAACUGAAACAUCUAAGUACCCCGAGGAAAAGAAAUCAACCGAGAUUCCCCCAGUAGCGGCGAGCGAACGGGGAGCAGCCCAGAGCCUGAAUCAGUGUGUGUGUUAGUGGAAGCGUCUGGAAAGGCGCGCGAUACAGGGUGACAGCCCCGUACACAAAAAUGCACAUGCUGUGAGCUCGAUGAGUAGGGCGGGACACGUGGUAUCCUGUCUGAAUAUGGGGGGACCAUCCUCCAAGGCUAAAUACUCCUGACUGACCGAUAGUGAACCAGUACCGUGAGGGAAAGGCGAAAAGAACCCCGGCGAGGGGAGUGAAAAAGAACCUGAAACCGUGUACGUACAAGCAGUGGGAGCACAGAGCAAUCUGUGUGACUGCGUACCUUUUGUAUAAUGGGUCAGCGACUUAUAUUCUGUAGCAAGGUUAACCGAAUAGGGGAGCCGAAGGGAAACCGAGUCUUAACUGGGCGUUAAGUUGCAGGGUAUAGACCCGAAACCCGGUGAUCUAGCCAUGGGCAGGUUGAAGGUUGGGUAACACUAACUGGAGGACCGAACCGACUAAUGUUGAAAAAUUAGCGGAUGACUUGUGGCUGGGGGUGAAAGGCCAAUCAAACCGGGAGAUAGCUGGUUCUCCCCGAAAGCUAUUUAGGUAGCGCCUCGUGAAUUCAUCUCCGGGGGUAGAGCACUGUUUCGGCAAGGGGGUCAUCCCGACUUACCAACCCGAUGCAAACUGCGAAUACCGGAGAAUGUUAUCACGGGAGACACACGGCGGGUGCUAACGUCCGUCGUGAAGAGGGAAACAACCCAGACCGCCAGCUAAGGUCCCAAAGUCAUGGUUAAGUGGGAAACGAUGUGGGAAGGCCCAGACAGCCAGGAUGUUGGCUUAGAAGCAGCCAUCAUUUAAAGAAAGCGUAAUAGCUCACUGGUCGAGUCGGCCUGCGCGGAAGAUGUAACGGGGCUAAACCAUGCACCGAAGCUGCGGCAGCGACGCUGAUGCGUUGUUGGGUAGGGGAGCGUUCUGUAAGCCUGUGAAGGUGUACUGUGAGGUAUGCUGGAGGUAUCAGAAGUGCGAAUGCUGACAUAAGUAACGAUAAAGCGGGUGAAAAGCCCGCUCGCCGGAAGACCAAGGGUUCCUGUCCAACGUUAAUCGGGGCAGGGUGAGUCGACCCCUAAGGCGAGGCCGAAAGGCGUAGUCGAUGGGAAACAGGUUAAUAUUCCUGUACUUGGUGUUACUGCGAAGGGGGGACGGAGAAGGCUAUGUUGGCCGGGCGACGGUUGUCCCGGUUUAAGCGUGUAGGCUGGUUUUCCAGGCAAAUCCGGAAAAUCAAGGCUGAGGCGUGAUGACGAGGCACUACGGUGCUGAAGCAACAAAUGCCCUGCUUCCAGGAAAAGCCUCUAAGCAUCAGGUAACAUCAAAUCGUACCCCAAACCGACACAGGUGGUCAGGUAGAGAAUACCAAGGCGCUUGAGAGAACUCGGGUGAAGGAACUAGGCAAAAUGGUGCCGUAACUUCGGGAGAAGGCACGCUGAUAUGUAGGUGAAGUCCCUCGCGGAUGGAGCUGAAAUCAGUCGAAGAUACCAGCUGGCUGCAACUGUUUAUUAAAAACACAGCACUGUGCAAACACGAAAGUGGACGUAUACGGUGUGACGCCUGCCCGGUGCCGGAAGGUUAAUUGAUGGGGUCAGCGCAAGCGAAGCUCUUGAUCGAAGCCCCGGUAAACGGCGGCCGUAACUAUAACGGUCCUAAGGUAGCGAAAUUCCUUGUCGGGUAAGUUCCGACCUGCACGAAUGGCGUAAUGAUGGCCAGGCUGUCUCCACCCGAGACUCAGUGAAAUUGAACUCGCUGUGAAGAUGCAGUGUACCCGCGGCAAGACGGAAAGACCCCGUGAACCUUUACUAUAGCUUGACACUGAACAUUGAGCCUUGAUGUGUAGGAUAGGUGGGAGGCUUUGAAGUGUGGACGCCAGUCUGCAUGGAGCCGACCUUGAAAUACCACCCUUUAAUGUUUGAUGUUCUAACGUUGACCCGUAAUCCGGGUUGCGGACAGUGUCUGGUGGGUAGUUUGACUGGGGCGGUCUCCUCCUAAAGAGUAACGGAGGAGCACGAAGGUUGGCUAAUCCUGGUCGGACAUCAGGAGGUUAGUGCAAUGGCAUAAGCCAGCUUGACUGCGAGCGUGACGGCGCGAGCAGGUGCGAAAGCAGGUCAUAGUGAUCCGGUGGUUCUGAAUGGAAGGGCCAUCGCUCAACGGAUAAAAGGUACUCCGGGGAUAACAGGCUGAUACCGCCCAAGAGUUCAUAUCGACGGCGGUGUUUGGCACCUCGAUGUCGGCUCAUCACAUCCUGGGGCUGAAGUAGGUCCCAAGGGUAUGGCUGUUCGCCAUUUAAAGUGGUACGCGAGCUGGGUUUAGAACGUCGUGAGACAGUUCGGUCCCUAUCUGCCGUGGGCGCUGGAGAACUGAGGGGGGCUGCUCCUAGUACGAGAGGACCGGAGUGGACGCAUCACUGGUGUUCGGGUUGUCAUGCCAAUGGCACUGCCCGGUAGCUAAAUGCGGAAGAGAUAAGUGCUGAAAGCAUCUAAGCACGAAACUUGCCCCGAGAUGAGUUCUCCCUGACUCCUUGAGAGUCCUGAAGGAACGUUGAAGACGACGACGUUGAUAGGCCGGGUGUGUAAGCGCAGCGAUGCGUUGAGCUAACCGGUACUAAUGAACCGUGAGGCUUAACCUUACAACGCCGAAG